rnacentral:lncRNA from 1 species
GGCUGUGUUCCCAUGCAAAUCUCAUCUUGAAUUGUAAUUCCGAUAAUCAGCAUGUGUGGAGACAUCCACUGGGAGGUAAUUAAAUUAUGGGGGUGGUUUCCCCCAUGCUGUUCUCCUGACAGUGAGUUCUCACGAGAUCUGAUAGUUUUAUAAGCAUCUGGCAUUUCCCCUGCUGGCACUCAUUCUGUCUCCUGCCACCCUGUGGAGUGGUGCCUUCCGCCAUGAUUCUGAACUAAUGCGGCAGAAAUGAAGACUCAAUUUAUAUCAGCCUACAUUGCUGAGGAGUGUGGGAGAGAAUAUGACAGCCACACACUUCAAAGGUGGAAAAUAGAGGGACAAGUGUUAGUUUACUUGCCAGGAGAGGUCUGAAGCCUACUUUGGAAUGCAGGGAAGCAGAUGCCAAGGGGAUAGGAGGGAAGAACACUUGUGAAAGAUGAAGGGGAAAAGAAGCAUGCUUCUGUGGAAAACACUUUCAAGUUCAUUAGAUCAAACUUGUUGAGAAUGGCUGACAUCUGAGAAUCAAACCAACACUCCUCAGCAUUGAGUCAAAAAGUCACAGAAGGCAAGAGAUCCUUAUCCUUCAAGGCAAGAGAGAUGGAGCUAUUGGAAUAUUCUUUUUCCUUGAUCAAAAUAUCCUUCAUCGGGGAAAUAUUCUCUUGCAAAAAUACCACAGCUGUCUGGAGAGCAAAACAGAGCUUUUAAGAACUGAAUUCUAUAAUAGAAUAAAGUGACUGAAGGGAAAGGUAAGGAUUCACAGUGGAUUGGG